GAUGAACGCUGGCGGCGUGCCUAAUACAUGCAAGUCGAGCGAACAGACGAGGAGCUUGCUUCUCUGACGUUAGCGGCGGACGGGUGAGUAACACGUGGAUAACCUACCUAUAAGACUGGGAUAACUUCGGGAAACCGGAGCUAAUACCGGAUAAUAUAUUGAACCGCAUGGUUCAAUAGUGAAAGACGGUUUUGCUGUCACUUAUAGAUGGAUCCGCGCCGCAUUAGCUAGUUGGUAAGGUAACGGCUUACCAAGGCAACGAUGCGUAGCCGACCUGAGAGGGUGAUCCGCCACACUGGAACUGAGACACGGUCCAGACUCCUAAGGGAGGCAGCAGUAGGGAAUCUUCCGCAAUGGGCGAAAGCCUGACGGAGCAAAGCCGCGUGAGUGAUGAAGGUCUUCGGAUCGUAAAACUCUGUUAUUAGGGAAGAAAAAAUGUGUAAGUAAAUAUGCACGUCUUGACGGUACCUAAUCAGAAAGCCACGGCUAACUACGUG
rnacentral:rRNA from 1 species